rnacentral:rRNA from 1 species
UACGAAGGGGGCUAGCGUUGCUCGGAAUCACUGGGCGUAAAGGGCGCGUAGGCGGCCGAUCAAGUCGGGGGUGAAAGCCUGUGGCUCAACCACAGAAUUGCCUUCGAUACUGUUUGGCUUGAGACCGGAAGAGGUUAGUGGAACUGCGAGUGUAGAGGUGAAAUUCGUAGAUAUUCGCAAGAACACCAGUGGCGAAGGCGGCUGACUGGUCCGGUUCUGACGCUGAGGCGCGAAAGCGUGGGGAGCAAACAGG